rnacentral:misc_RNA from 1 species
AAAAAAAAAAAAAAAAAGGCAUCAUACAGUAGCAUGCUCCUACAUCUCCGAAGGACCUUGCCAUUGGACCAAGGCUCACCCUCCAGAACCAAUGCAGUGAGUAAAGGGAACGAAGGGCGACUCCACCUCCGCACAUAAACCCAAAUCUCCAAACAGUACUUGAUAAGUAGUUUUAGUACAAAUAAAAGAAACUGUAACAUUGAUUAAAACCAAUAUGCAUCAUAACCACAAGGCAAUAUGUCAAAAUAAAAAUCUAGUAAACCACAUAUUUAUUGCCCAGGAAGAGAAAAUUAACACACCAGAAGCGCCAUGAAAUUUUUCCUUGGACGACUUCUUCGAACUCGAGAAACACAUGGAAUCUGAAUCCCAGAUCCUCCAAGGGAAUCCAACCUUGUGACAACAGUUCUCCCAUCUGAAGAGACAUUUCUAACAGGCCUAAAAUGAAAUUUUGAGGACAUCUGUCCAAAUGCAGAACUUUUUACCGUAGUCCUUAACUUUCCACUAGACUCUUUGGACUCUACUUCUGAAAGUUCUUCAAUGUACCGCCUCGUAGGCUUCCGAACUCGUUUGGCAGCUCUCUGUUCUGUGUGAUGAUCUUCACUUCCAGAAUUGUCACCUGUGCUACGAUUUCUCUUGUCAGAAACAACUUGAUCUUCCAGUUGGCUACCAUGGCUAAUUGGAGCCCCUUGCUGACUGCAAUUUAUUGUUGUUCCUACUGCUAGAUUAUAGGCUAAGGCACCAUCUACAUUAUCACAACCAUCUUCUUUGCCUUUCUUAACUAAUUUGUUAUCUUUAAUUAUGAAAGUUGUUGCUGAAACAUCACAAGAAUUAGUUAAUCCCAUGGUGAUUCUUCUCUUAAGCCAUUGCUUGUCCUUGACAGUAGUUUCUCGCCCAAAUGUUGCUUUAAAAGUUUCAUGAAGUUCUUUAAUUGACAAAUUGUCCAAGCAUAUUUCCCCGUUUAACUUGGAAAAAUCAGGUUUUGAAGUAGUAACAGUGGUAGAAGGCAAAGCUCCACCUUCUGUCAGUACUGGAGUAUUUGAGCACUCAUCAAUGCUCCCAGAUUGAUGCAAAUGGCUGUCAAUCAAACUUGGUGUGAAGGAAGGGACAGUUUCCUGCAAUGGAAUUUCAGAUUGGAGGUUCUCAUCAAUACCAGGCAAUUUAUCAAGCUGAUCAGAACACUGGCUGUCUACAAUGACAUAAGCAGAAGAAUAAUCACGAGAUCCACAUGCUAAACGGAGCCUCUCUUCCUCUUUCACCUUUUGCAACAUCUCCUCGAUGUACUACAAGAGAUUUUAAAGGCCGAGAUGGAUCCAAGACAAUCAGUUGUUCAAUUAAUACUUCGAUAAGCUACAAUCAAUUAUGUGUUUGAAAAUCUAUAUGAAAAUGGACAAGCAGAAAACAGCCUAAAAAAAACAAGGGUAAAAAUGGGGGAAAUCAAAUAUGCAAAUAAAUAGGGUAAGAAACUAAAUCGUUGACACUUCUACAUAGAAUAAUCUAUGAAAAUUGCUAUCAUAGUAUAAUCCACCUACUGAUGAGUGGUGGCCUUUAAUGAAAUACAAUAGGUUACUUGCCCAAAAAUGAUAAAUAUGAAGAAUGCAAAUAAGCCAACAACUUAUAAGGGAAAAGGGCUAAAAAAGAGAUGUUAUAGUUAUGUAAUAUUUCAAGUAUAUUGCUCAACAUUUACGUUAAUAAUCCCAUGGCGAAAAAAAUAUAUUUACUUCCUAGAGUUCCUAAAAACCAAAUACAAGGGAGAAAUAGAAUUAUAAGUCAACAUCUGAUGUCUACACAUUACUAUGUAUUGCAAUGCACUUCCAUCAACGCCAAGGUAAAAUGGAUUCAGUGCCAAACAGUACUAUGCUGGUGGAAGUGUAAGAAGAAAAGCAACUUGAAGAGCACAUGAAACCAAUGUUGUUAAAGGGGCUUUGAGGCGCUGGGUGAGGCACCAGGUGAGAUGAGGUGACCCUCUAGCGCCUUACCUGGCUCCGCCAGGCCAGGGUUGUGUGAGGCGACAGCUGGGAGAAAAAGGCACAGGGUGUGAGGCGAGGGACGUGACGCCUCUGUUACAUAACGUUUAUUUUUUAAUUUUUAUUCCUUUAAACAGCAAAAGAGUUAAAAACCCUAAGAGGAGGCUCUCAUUUCACGCCAGUGAUGCCACAGCUGCUU